rnacentral:rRNA from 1 species
GACGAACGCUGGCGGCGUGCUUAACACAUGCAAGUCGAACGGUGAAGCGCCUUCCUUUUUGGUGGGUGUGGAUGAGUGGCGAACGGGUGAGUAACACGUGAGUAACCUGCCCCCUUCUUCUGGAUAACCGCAUGAAAGUGUGGCUAAUACGGGAUAUUCUGGGUCUGUCGCAUGAUGGGUCUGGGAAAGAUAUUGUUUCGGUGGGGGCUGGGCUGGCGGCCUAUCAGCUGGUUGGUGGGGUGAUGGCCUACCAAGGCGGUGACGGGUAGCCGGCCUGAGAGGGUGGACGGUCACACUGGGACUGAGACACGGCCCAGACUCCUACGGGAGGCAGCAGUGGGGAAUAUUGCACAAUGGGCGCAAGCCUGAUGCAGCGACGCCGCGUGAGGGAUGGAGGCCUUCGGGUUGUGAACCUCUUUCGCCAGUGAAGCAGGCCUGCCUCGUUUGUGGGUGGGUUGACGGUAGCUGGAUAAGAAGCGCCGGCUAACUACGUG